UACGAAGGGGGCUAGCGUUGCUCGGAAUCACUGGGCGUAAAGCGCACGUAGGCGGACUCUUAAGUCAGGGGUGAAAUCCUGGAGCUCAACUCCAGAACUGCCUUUGAUACUGGGAGUCUUGAGUUCGGGAGAGGAGCGUGGAAUUCCCAGUGUAGAGGUGAAAUUCGUAGAUAUUCGGAAGAACACCAGUGGCGAAGGCGGCUAACUGGUCCAGUACUGACGCUGAGGUACGAAAGCAUGGGGAGCGAACAGG
rnacentral:rRNA from 1 species